AGACGGAGGGGGCUAGCGUUGUUCGGAAUUACUGGGCGUAAAGCGCGCGUAGGCGGUGGUCGAAGUUGGGCGUGAAAGCCCGGGGCUCAACCCCGGAAUUGCGCUCAAAACUGGAUCACUAGAGACCGGGAGAGGGUAGUGGAAUUCCCAGUGUAGAGGUGAAAUUCGUAGAUAUUUGGAAGAACACCAGUGGCGAAGGCGGCUACCUGGACCGGUACUGACGCUGAGGUGCGAAAGCGUGGGGAGCAAACAGGAUUAGAAACCCGGGUAGUCC
rnacentral:rRNA from 1 species